rnacentral:rRNA from 1 species
GAGUUUGAUCCUGGCUCAGGACGAACGCUGGCGGCGUGCCUAAUACAUGCAAGUAGAACGCUGAGGACUUUAGCUUGCUAAAGUUGGAAGAGUUGCGAACGGGUGAGUAACGCGUAGGUAACCUGCCUACUAGCGGGGGAUAACUAUUGGAAACGAUAGCUAAUACCGCAUAACAGCAUUUAACCCAUGUUAGAUGCUUGAAAGGAGCAAUUGCUUCACUAGUAGAUGGACCUGCGUUGUAUUAGCUAGUUGGUGAGGUAACGGCUCACCAAGGCGACGAUACAUAGCCGACCUGAGAGGGUGAUCGGCCACACUGGGACUGAGACACGGCCCAGACUCCUACGGGAGGCAGCAGUAGGGAAUCUUCGGCAAUGGGGGCAACCCUGACCGAGCAACGCCGCGUGAGUGAAGAAGGUUUUCGGAUCGUAAAGCUCUGUUGUAAGAGAAGAACGUGUGUGAGAGUGGAAAGUUCACACAGUGACGGUAACUUACCAGAAAGGGACGGCUAACUACGUGCCAGCAGCCGCGGUAAUACGUAGGUCCCGAGCGUUGUCCGGAUUUAUUGGGCGUAAAGCGAGCGCAGGCGGGUUUAAUAAGUCUGAAGUUAAAGGCAGUGGCUUAACCAUUGUUCGCUUUGGAAACUGUUAGACUUGAGUGCAGAAGGGGAGAGUGGAAUUCCAUGUGUAGCGGUGAAAUGCGUAGAUAUAUGGAGGAACACCGGUGGGCGAAAGCGGCUCUCUGGUCGGUAACUGACGCUGAGGCUCGAAAGCGUGG